rnacentral:rRNA from 1 species
UACGUAGGGUGCAAGCGUUGCCCGGAUUUAUUGGGCGUAAAGGGCGCGUAGGCGGCUCGGCACGUCCGUUGUGAAAUCGCCCGGCUCAACUGGGCGGGGUCAGCGGAUACGGCCGAGCUUGAGCAAGCUAGGGGGCAAUGGAAUUCCCGGUGUAGUGGUGGAAUGCGUAGAUAUCGGGAGGAACACCAGUGGCGAAGGCGGGUCUCUGGGCAGUAACUGACGCUGAGGAGCGAAAGCGUGGGGAGCGAACAGG